rnacentral:rRNA from 1 species
GGAAAAGAAAUCAACCGAGAUUCCCCUAGUAGCGGCGAGCGAACGGGGAGCAGCCCAGAGUCUUAAUCAGCAUUAGCAUCAGGAGAACGGUCUGGAAAGUCCGGCAGUAAAGGGUGAUAGCCCCGUAUCCGAAGGUGUUAGUGUUGUGAACUCGACGAGUAGGGCGGGACACGUGUUAUCCUGUCUGAAUAUGGGGGGACCAUCCUCCAAGGCUAAAUACUCCUGAUUGACCGAUAGUGAACCAGUACCGUGAGGGAAAGGCGAAAAGAACCCCGGCGAGUGGAGUGAAAUAGAACCUGAAACCGUGUACGUACAAGCAGUGGGAGCCUUGAUUUAUCAGGGUGACUGCGUACCUUUUGUAUAAUGGGUCAGCGACUUAUAUUCUGUAGCAAGGUUAACCGUAUAGGGGAGCCGUAGGGAAACCGAGUCUUAACUGGGCGAAUAAGUUGCAGGGUAUAGACCCGAAACCCGGUGAUCUAGCCAUGGGCAGGUUGAAGGUUGGGUAACACUAACUGGAGGACCGAACCGACUAAUGUUGAAAAAUUAGCGGAUGACUUGUGGCUGGGGGUGAAAGGCCAAUCAAACCGGGAGAUAGCUGGUUCUCCCCGAAAGCUAUUUAGGUAGCGCC